rnacentral:misc_RNA from 1 species
ACCUGGUAUUCCUGAAUAGGAUUCCUUUGUUCAUCUGGCAUGUACCAUGAGGCGUCUAACACCUUCAAGUCAGGCUCUUUGAGAUUAGAAUGAAGCCAAUCAGGGGAAACAACAGGAUCAUCCGUGGAUAAGGAUUUUGAUGAAAAUUGAGCUCGAGCCCCUGCUACAGAUGAAGCCAUGAAAGACGAAACUCGCCGAGUCGGAUUAUAUGCUACACUGGCUGAGUUAGCUUGAAAGUGAAAAAAUUUCUUACUGAAGAUGGAAGUCAGAAUCUGGGUGUUGCCAGAUGGAAAGGAGAGAGACUGAGCGAAUCGAUUAACCAAAAAGGUUUUACUCAAAAGGGUGGAUGCCAUCGGCAGAAUGUUGAACCCAAGAUAGAGAAUCUGAA